GACGAACGCUGGCGGCGUGCUUAACACAUGCAAGUCGAACGGAAAGGCCCUGCUUUUGUUGGGUGCUCGAGUGGCGAACGGGUGAGUAACACGUGAGUAACCUGCCCUUUACUUUGGGAUAACUUCAGGAAACUGGGGCUAAUACCGGAUAGGAGCUCCUGCUGCAUGGUGGGGGUUGGAAAGGUUCGGCGGUUGGGGAUGGACUCGCGGCUUAUCAGCUUGUUGGUGGGGUAGUGGCUUACCAAGGCUUUGACGGGUAGCCGGCCUGAGAGGGUGACCGGCCAAAUUGGGACUGAGAUACGGCCCAGACUCCUACGGGAGGCAGCAGUGGGGAAUAUUGCACAAUGGGCGGAAGCCUGAUGCAGCAACGCCGCGUGCGGGAUGACGGCCUUCGGGUUGUAAACCGCUUUCGCCUGUGACGAAGCGUGAGUGACGGUAAUGGGUAAAGAAGCACCGGCUAACUACGUG
rnacentral:rRNA from 1 species